UGGGGAAUAUUGCACAAUGGGCGCAAGCCUGAUGCAGCCAUGCCGCGUGUCUGAAGAAGGCCUUCGGGUUGUAAAGGACUUUUGUCAGGGAAGAAAAGGGCGGGGUUAAUACCCCUGUCUGAUGACGGUACCUGAAGAAUAAGCACCGGCUAACUACGUGCCAGCAGCCGCGGUAAUACGUAGGGUGCGAGCGUUAAUCGGAAUUACUGGGCGUAAAGCGGGCGCAGACGGUUACUUAAGCAGGAUGUGAAAUCCCCGGGCUCAACCUGGGAACUGCGUUCUGAACUGGGUGACUAGAGUGUGUCAGAGGGAGGUAGAAUUCCACGUGUAGCAGUGAAAUGCGUAGAGAUGUGGAGGAAUACCGAUGGCGAAGGCAGCCUCCUGGGAUAACACUGACGUUCAUGCCCGAAAGCGUGGGUAGCAAACA
rnacentral:rRNA from 1 species